AGAGUUUGAUCCUGGCUCAGGAUGAACGUUGGCGGCGUGCCUAACACAUGCAAGUCGAACGGAGAUAGCAAUAUCUGAGUGGCGCACGGGUGAGUAACACGUAGCUUACCUACCUCAAAGCGCGGGAUAACGUUCCGAAAGGAAUGCUAAUACCGCAUAAGCUCCCGAGCUGUAGAGGCUUGAGAGAAAAGGGGCAACUCACUUUGAGAUGGGGCUGCGGCCCAUCAGCUAGUUGGUGAGGUAAAGGCUUACCAAGGCGACGACGGGUAGGGGACCUGAGAGGGUGACCCCCCACACUGGGACUGAGACACGGCCCAGACUCCUACGGGAGGCAGCAGUGAGGGAUAUUGCACAAUGGGCGCAAGCCUGAUGCAGCGACGCCGCGUGUGUGAAGAAGGCCUUCGGGUUGUAAAGCACUUUAAGUGGGGAAGAAAAGCGUAGCGUUAAUAGCGUUGCGCCGUGACAUUACCCACAGAAUAAGCACCGGCUAACUCCGUGCCAGCAGCCGCGGUAAUACGGAGGGUGCGAGCGUUAAUCGGAAUUACUGGGCGUAAAGCGCGCGUAGGCGGUUUGUUAAGUCAGCUGUGAAAGCCCCGGGCUCAACCUGGGAACUGCAGUUGAUACUGGCCGACUAGAGUACGAGAGAGGGAGGUAGAAUUCCAUGUGUAGCGGUGAAAUGCGUAGAUAUAUGGAGGAAUACCGGUGGCGAAGGCGGCCUCCUGGCUCGAUACUGACGCUGAGGUGCGAAAGCGUGGGGAUCAAACAGGAUUAGAUACCCUGGUAGUCCACGCCGUAAACGAUGGAUACUAGCUGUUCGGAGCAAUCUGAGUGGCUAAGCGAAAGUGAUAAGUAUCCCACCUGGGGAGUACGCACGCAAGUGUGAAACUCAAAGGAAUUGACGGGGGCCCGCACAAGCGGUGGAGCAUGUGGUUUAAUUCGAUGCAACGCGAAGAACCUUACCUGGCCUUGACAUGUCCGGAAUCCUGCAGAGAUGCGGGAGUGCCUUCGGGAAUCGGAACACAGGUGCUGCAUGGCUGUCGUCAGCUCGUGUCGUGAGAUGUUGGGUUAAGUCCCGCAACGAGCGCAACCCUUGUCCUUAGUUGCCAGCACGUAAAGGUGGGAACUCUAAGGAGACUGCCGGUGACAAACCGGAGGAAGGUGGGGAUGACGUCAAGUCAUCAUGGCCCUUACGGCCAGGGCUACACACGUACUACAAUGGUCGGUACAGAGGGUUGCGAGACCGCGAGGUGGAGCCAAUCCCAGAAAGCCGAUCUCAGUCCGGAUCGGAGUCUGCAACUCGACUCCGUGAAGUCGGAAUCGCUAGUAGUCGCGAAUCAGCAUUGUCGCGGUGAAUACGUUCCCGGGUCUUGCACACACCGCCCGU
rnacentral:rRNA from 1 species